GACGAACGCUGGCGGCGUGCCUAAUACAUGCAAGUAGAACGCUGAAGGAGGAGCUUGCUUCUCUGGAUGAGUUGCGAACGGGUGAGUAACGCGUAGGUAACCUGCCUGGUAGCGGGGGAUAACUAUUGGAAACGAUAGCUAAUACCGCAUAAUAGCGGUUAUUGCAUGAUAACUGUUUGAAAGGUGCAAAUGCAUCACUACCAGAUGGACCUGCGUUGUAUUAGCUAGUUGGUGGGGUAACGGCUCACCAAGGCGACGAUACAUAGCCGACCUGAGAGGGUGAUCGGCCACACUGGGACUGAGACACGGCCCAGACUCCUACGGGAGGCAGCAGUAGGGAAUCUUCGGCAAUGGACGGAAGUCUGACCGAGCAACGCCGCGUGAGUGAAGAAGGUUUUCGGAUGUAAAGCUUCUGUUGUAAGAGAAGAACGAGUGUGAGAGU
rnacentral:rRNA from 1 species